AGAGAAUCAAAAACCAAAUCCUUAAAAUCGACAAGACAUUCGAAUUGUACAAAAACAUAAAAGAGACUAUGAAUCUGAGUAUCAGUUCUCCAAGGUGAAUAAAACAUCAAUGUAAUUUCAGUAGUAAAUAACAUCAAUAUAUGAGAUUCAUCCUAUACUCAGAUUCAAAAGAAAACGAUUUUUUUAAGGAUACAAAAACGAAAUAUUAAAAUUGAAAACA
rnacentral:sRNA from 1 species